AUGUCUGGGAUUUCAUUAGAAGCUGAAAUAGCAGCUAGAAUUAGAGCUGAACAAAUUGCCGAGGCUGCAACGGAGGCUGCAAAAGGUGCUACUAAGGCUGCAAAAGCUACUGGUAAUAGUGUACAGAGGAUAGAGAGGGAGAUGAAUGUUCGGAUGAAACUUAGGAUGAAGAAAGUUUUGGCUCAACUAGCGGAUCACAUCUUCAUCAUUAUGAUGAAGAUUUGGACAAUCUGUCAUUAG